ensembl:snoRNA small nucleolar RNA SNORA26
CUGUCCCUUUAAAGUACCGUGGCGCUUUAAGGAUCUAACUUUAACAGCAGGAUGAAGGAACUCUCCACCAAACCCAGGGAGGAGACUGAACGAGGCUCUUUGGAUCCUGUCUGGAGUCACAGAC